rnacentral:rRNA from 1 species
CCCGCUGAACUUAAGCAUAUCAAUAAGCGGAGGAAAAGAAACUAACAAGGAUUCCCCUAGUAACUGCGAGUGAAGCGGGAAAAGCUCAAAUUUAAAAUCUGGCAGCCAUUUUACGGUUGUCCGAGUUGUAAUCUAGAGAAGUGCUUUCCGCGCUGGACUGUGUACAAGUCUCUUGGAAUAGAGCAUCAUAGAGGGUGAGAAUCCCGUCUUUGACACGGACUACCAGUGCUUUAUGUGAUGCGCUCUCAAAGAGUCGAGUUGUUUGGGAAUGCAGCUCAAAAUGGGUGGUAAAUUCCAUCUAAAGCUAAAUAUUGGCGAGAGACCGGUAGCGAACAAGUACCGUGAGGGAAAGAUGAAAAGAACUUUGGAAAGAGAGUUAAACAGUACGUGAAAUUGUUGAAAGGGAAACGCUUGAAGUCAGUCACGUUGGCCAGAAAUCAACUUGUGACAGGGCGUAAUUUCUGGUUUUACGGGUCAACAUCAAUUUUGAUUGUUGGAUAAAAGUCAAUAUUUAUGCGUUUUCGGACGUGUAGCCUUUGAUUGCAUACAAUGGUUGGGAUUGAGGAACUCAGCACGCCGCAAGGCCGGGUAACUUUGUUACCACGUAACGUGCUUAGGAUGUUGGCAUAAUGGCUUUAAUCGACCCGUCUUGAAACACGG